rnacentral:rRNA from 1 species
CCUACGGGUGGCAGCAGUGGGGAAUAUUGGACAAUGGGGGCAACCCUGAUCCAGCCAUGCCGCGUGUGUGAAGAAGGCCCUCGGGUUGUAAAGCACUUUCAGUGAGGAAGAACGCCUGGUGGUUAAUACCCAUCAGGAAAGACAUCACUCACAGAAGAAGCACCGGCUAACUCCGUGCCAGCAGCCGCGGUAAUACGGAGGGUGCGAGCGUUAAUCGGAAUUACUGGGCGUAAAGCGCGCGUAGGUGGCUUGAUAAGCCGGUUGUGAAAGCCCCGGGCUCAACCUGGGAACGGCAUCCGGAACUGUCAAGUUAGAGUGCAGGAGAGGAAGGUAGAAUUCCCGGUGUAGCGGUGAAAUGCGUAGAGAUCGGGAGGAAUACCAGUGGCGAAGGCGGCCUUCUGGACUGACACUGACACUGAGGUGCGAAAGCGUGGGUAGCAAACAGGAUUAGAUACCCGUGUAGUC